rnacentral:misc_RNA from 1 species
GUGAAUCAUCAAAUUUUUGAACGCAAAUUGCACUCCUUUCGGAGGGUAUGCCUGUUUGAGGGUCAGCCUAUAAAAAUCGACAUCGUUGCUGUUUCGCGGUGGCGUUUUUUGGAAAUUGUGUCAUCUUAAAUCCUUUUGAUUUAUGCGAAUUAAAAUUUUCUUUUGGUUAGAUGAGCGUUUCUCAGAUCUA